rnacentral:tRNA from 2 species
GGGCCCGUAGCUCAGUUGGUUAGAGCGCUACCUUGACACGGUAGAGGUCUCCAGUUCGAGUCUGGGCGGGCCCACCA